rnacentral:rRNA from 1 species
UACGGAGGGUGCGAGCGUUGUCCGGAAUCACUGGGCGUAAAGGGCGCGUAGGCGGCCUGAUAAGUAGGGGGUGAAAUCCUGCGGCUUAACCGCAGGGCUGCCUUCUAAACUGUCAGGCUCGAGCACAGUAGAGGCAGGUGGAAUUCCCGGUGUAGCGGUGGAAUGCGUAGAGAUCCGGAAGAACACCGGUGGCGAAGGCGGUCUGCUGGGCAGUAGCUGACGCUGAUGCGCGACAGCGUGGGGAGCAAACAGG